CAGUAGCCACGGUAAUACGUAGGUGGCAAGCGUUGUCCGGAAUUAUUGGGCGUAAAGCGCGCGCAGGUGGUUUAAUAAGUCUGAUGUGAAAGCCCCCGGCUCAACCGUGGAGGGUCAUUGGAAACUGUUAAACUUGAGUGCAGGAGAGAAAAGUGGAAUUCCUAGUGUAGCGGUGGAAUGCGUAGAGAUUAGGAGGAACACCAGUGGCGAAGGCGGCUUUUUGGCCUGUAACUGACACUGAGGCGCGAAAGCGUGGGGAGCAAACAGGAUUAGAUACCCCCGUAGUCCCUGUCUCUUAUAC
rnacentral:rRNA from 1 species